rnacentral:lncRNA from 1 species
GGAGAGAAACUGCAGGACAGGCAGAAGAAACAAAACCAUACCUGAGACAGCAAACAAAAAGAGUGAGACACAGGCUCUCUUUCUACUCUCUGUUUUGCCUCAGGAUGAACACAGUCUCCCUAACCUCUGACCUCAUCUACUGCAGCUCCUGACAUCUGGGUUCCUUUAUCCCCUCAAGUGAAAAUUCUUCAUUCACUUUUGGAAAAUGGAGUGAUGCCUUUUC